AUUGAACGCUGGCGGCAGGCCUAACACAUGCAAGUCGAGCGAGCGGCGGCCGGGUGAGUAAUGUCUGGGAUACUGCCUGAUGGAGUGGGAUAACUCCUGGAAACGGUCGCUAAUACCGCAUACCAUCAGAUGUGCCCCGGUGGGAUUCGCUAGUAGGUGGGGUAACGGCUCACCUAGGCGACGAGCCCUAGCUGGUCUGGGAGGAUGACUAGCCACACUGGAACUGAGACACGGUCCAGACUCCUACGGGAGGCAGCAGUGGGGAAUAUUGCACAAUGGGCGCUAGCCUGAUGCAGCCAUGCCGCGUGUGUGAAGAAGGCCUUCGGGUUGUAAAGCACUUUCAGCGGGGAGGCGUUACCCGCAGAAGAAGCACCGGCUAACUCCGUGCCAGCCGCCGCGGUAAUAC
rnacentral:rRNA from 1 species